rnacentral:misc_RNA from 1 species
CUUCUUUCUAUUCAACAAGAAAAAGAACCUCUUAUUACUCAUUGCCCUGUUUGUGGUGAGAUUCUUGAAGUUUCUGAUAGGCUAAGCACAGUUGUUCAUUUGAGUGUUUCGAUGAAGGGACUGGAAACCAAAUUAUGACCGGAGGAUUUCUGACUGAUAAACAGGCUUCAUAUGGGUGGAUGUUUAAACUGAGUGAAUGGGC